rnacentral:rRNA from 1 species
GGUUGACCUCGGAUCGUAGGUACC